rnacentral:rRNA from 1 species
GACGACCGCUGGCGGCGUGCCUAAUACAUGCAAGUCGAACGCUGAAGGAGGAGCUUGCUUCUCUGGAUGAGUUGCGAACGGGUGAGUAACGCGUAGGUAACCUGCCUGGUAGCGGGGGAUAACUAUUGGAAACGAUAGCUAAUACCGCAUAAUAGUAGAUGUUGCAUGACAUUUGCCUAAAAGGUGCAAUUGCAUCACUACCAGAUGGACCUGCGUUGUAUUAGCUAGUUGGUGGGGUAACGGCUCACCAAGGCGACGAUACAUAGCCGACCUGAGAGGGUGAUCGGCCACACUGGGACUGAGACACGGCCCAGACUCCUACGGGAGGCAGCAGUAGGGAAUCUUCGGCAAUGGACGGAAGUCUGACCGAGCAACGCCGCGGGAGUGAAGAAGGUUUUCGGAUCGUAAAGCUCGGUUGUAAGAGAAGAACGAGUGUGAGAGUGGAAAGUUCACACUGUGACGGUAUCUUACCAGAAAGGGACGGCUAACUACGUG